AAAUCAUUAGUUAAAUGGUAUAACAAUAACUUGAUAGGUUAUAGUCUAAGGUUCGAUUCCUUAAUGGUUUA
rfam:Hanseniaspora opuntiae strain AWRI3578 Hanseniaspora_opuntiae_AWRI3578_scaffold228, whole genome shotgun sequence.